rnacentral:rRNA from 1 species
CAGCCGCCGCGGGAAUACGAAGGGGGCUAGCGUUGUUCGGAAUUACUGGGCGUAAAGCGCACGUAGGCGGACAUUUAAGUCAGGGGUGAAAUCCCGGGGCUCAACCCCGGAACUGCCUUUGAUACUGGGUGUCUAGAGUAUGGAAGAGGUGAGUGGAAUUCCGAGUGUAGAGGUGAAAUUCGUAGAUAUUCGGAGGAACACCAGUGGCGAAGGCGGCUUACUGGUCCAUUACUGACGCUGAGGUGCGAAAGCGUGGGGAGCAAACAGGAUUAGAUACCCCCGUAGUCCCUGUCUCUUAUAC